rnacentral:rRNA from 1 species
GAUGAACGCUGGCGGCGUGCUUAACACAUGCAAGUCGAACGGAAACGCAGUGCCUUUUUGCGGUGCUUGGGGGGCGAAGGGGUGAGUAACAUGAGAGUAACGUAACCUUGACUUUGGUAUGAGUUAAGGUAACGAAAGCUAAUAUAGUACCGGAGCUCCUGUUGGAUUGUGGGGGGGGGAAAGUUUGGGCGGUUGGGGAUGGACGCGCGGCUUACGGGCUUGUUGGUGGGGGAGGGGCUUACCGAGGACUUGGGGGGUAGCCGGCCUGAGAGGGUGGCCGGCCACAUUGCGACUGAGAUACGGCCCAGAGGCCUACGGGGGGCAGCAGGGGGGAAUAUUGCACAAUGGGCGGAAGCCUGAUGCGGGGACGCCGCGUGCGUGAUGACUGUCUUCGGGUUGUAAACCGCAUUAGGCUGAUACGAAGCGUGUGUGACGGUAAUGGGUAAAUAAGCACCGGCUAACUACGUG